GCAAGUCGAGCGGAUGAAGUGAGCUUGCUCAUGGAUUCAGCGGCGGACGGGUGAGUAAUGCCUAGGAAUCUGCCUGGUAGUGGGGGACAACGUUUCGAAAGGAACGCUAAUACCGCAUACGUCCUACGGGAGAAAGCAGGGGACCUUCGGGCCUUGCGCUAUCAGAUGAGCCUAGGUCGGAUUAGCUAGUUGGUGAGGUAAUGGCUCACCAAGGCUACGAUCCGUAACUGGGUCUGAGAGGAUGAUCAGUCACACUGGAACUGAGACACGGUCCAGACUCCUACGGGAGGCAGCAGUGGGGAAUAUUGGACAAUGGGCGAAAGCCUGAUCCAGCCAUGCCGCGUGUGUGAAGAAGGUCUUCGGAUUGUAAAGCACUUUAAGUUGGGAGGAAGGGUUGUAGAUUAAUACUCUGCAAUUUUGACGUUACCGACAGAAUAAGCACCGGCUAACUCUGUGCCAGCAGCCGCGGUAAUACAGAGGGUGCAAGCGUUAAUCGGAAUUACUGGGCGUAAAGCGCGCGUAGGUGGUUCGUUAAGUUGGAUGUGAAAUCCCCGGGCUCAACCUGGGAACUGCAUCCAAAACUGGCGAGCUAGAGUAUGGUAGAGGGUGGUGGAAUUUCCUGUGUAGCGGUGAAAUGCGUAGAUAUAGGAAGGAACACCAGUGGCGAAGGCGA
rnacentral:rRNA from 1 species